rnacentral:rRNA from 1 species
AGUGAACGCUGGCGGUAGGCCUAACACAUGCAAGUCGAACGGCAGCACAGUAAGAGCUUGCUCUUACGGGUGGCGAGUGGCGGACGGGUGAGGAAUACAUCGGAAUCUACUUUUUCGUGGGGGAUAACGUAGGGAAACUUACGCUAAUACCGCAUACGACCUACGGGUGAAAGCAGGGGAUCUUCGGACCUUGCGCGAUUGAAUGAGCCGAUGUCGGAUUAGCUAGUUGGCGGGGUAAAGGCCCACCAAGGCGACGAUCCGUAGCUGGUCUGAGAGGAUGAUCAGCCACACUGGAACUGAGACACGGUCCAGACUCCUACGGGAGGCAGCAGUGGGGAAUAUUGGACAAUGGGCGCAAGCCUGAUCCAGCCAUACCGCGUGGGUGAAGAAGGCCUUCGGGUUGUAAAGCCCUUUUGUUGGGAAAGAAAAGCAGCAGGUUAAUACCCCGCUGCUCUGACGGUACCCAGAGAAUAAGCACCGGCUAACUUCGUG